GGUUAAGCGACUAAGCGUACACGGUGGAUGCCCUGGCAGUCAGAGGCGAUGAAGGACGUGCUAAUCUGCGAAAAGCGUCGGUAAGGUGAUAUGAACCGUUAUAGCCGGCGAUGUCCGAAUGGGGAAACCCAGUGCAAUUCGUUGCACUAUCGUUAACUGAAUACAUAGGUUAACGAGGCGAACCGGGGGAACUGAAACAUCUAAGUACCCCGAGGAAAAGAAAUCAACCGAGAUUCCCCCAGUAGCGGCGAGCGAACGGGGAGCAGCCCAGAGUCUGAAUCAGCUUGUGUGUUAGUGGAACGGUCUGGAAAGUCCGACGGUACAGGGUGAUAGUCCCGUACACCAAAAUGCACAGGCUGUGAACUCGAAGAGUAGGGCGGGACACGUGGUAUCCUGUCUGAAUAUGGGGGGACCAUCCUCCAAGGCUAA
rnacentral:rRNA from 1 species